GGAUGUUGAACGACUUACUUCCAACACCACAGCCCCCAGGUGAAAUGUUUGAGCCUGAUGUAAUUAAUCAUCCCCAACCCCUCAAUGCCCAUUUGGAGAGAUCUGCAACUAUUCAAGAAUUCUUUUCAGAUUGAAGAUUCUCAGAAAUGGAAUACCACUCCCCUCCCUCUCUCCUCAUCCCUAUAUUUACCACAUUUUCCCUAAAUAAAUGUAUACUUUACUCAAA